rnacentral:lncRNA from 1 species
UUAAUUAAUUCUUUUGAACUAGUAAUGCUUGUCAUGGAUGUUUGAUGAUGUAGGAAAAGGAAUGAGUCUAAGAUCUUCAAGAAGAUGAAAGAUGUUCUGUGGUUGAAAAGGUUAUGGUGAAUCUUGUGGAACAACCUAAAAGUCCUUGUGUAGUUUGUUUCAUGGAUUUUUCAGAAAACGAAAUACAUUCCGAGUGUUGAAGAAGAGUUAAUGGUGGAAGCUUGUGGAAUUACAUGGUGUAGUUGGAUGAAAGGAUAAGGAUCAAGGUGCUUGAUAGUUAAAUUGGCAUCACCAUCAAUUUAUAGUCCAUGUAGAGAAAGGUUGAAAAUUGGCUCAAAACAUAUGUUGAAGUUUCUACAAAAUCGUGACACGAUUUUGGUUCAACAAUUUGUUGUAAGGUACAGGAAAUAUCGUGGCACGAUUUGGGAAACUAUGGUAGGAUUUUCGAUAAGUUUCAGUAUUUUACUCGUGUACGAGUACAAAUCGUACAAUUUAGGAAAACGUGGCAUAAUUUUCAUGGGUUUGAACACUAUAAAAGGGCUUCGUUCAUCAUUUUUUGGGCAAUCCCAUGAAACUAAAGGAGGGAACUUUAGGAAAAUUAGAUGCUUAGAGUUGAGUGUCUCUGGGGUAGAUUCUUGGGUUGAGAAAUAAUUGUAAACACCUUGGAUAAGUGAAAUCAUUGAGUCUCUUGGCCACAUGAAGAGAUUCGGUAAACUGGUUGUAAUUAGGUUUAUUUUUGGAGAGCUUAUUGAAACUAAUUUCUUGUAACUCUUAUGUAUGUCUUUGUAAAUAACUCAUUGAAAGUGAAGUGGAGUGAUCUCUCUCCUCCAAACGUA